UACGUAGGGGGCAAGCGUUGUCCGGAUUUACUGGGCGUAAAGAGCGUGUAGGCGGCCAAGCAGGUCCGUUGUGAAAACUGGAGGCUUAACCUCCAGACGUCGACGGAAACCGCGCGGCUAGGGUCCGGAAGAGGAGAGUGGAAUUCCUGGUGUAGCGGUGAAAUGCGCAGAUAUCGGUAGGAACACCAGUGGCGAAGGCGGUCUCCUGGGGCAUUCUUGACGCUGAGGCGCGAAAGCUGGGGGAGCGAACGGG
rnacentral:rRNA from 1 species